GAGUAAGAAGGGAAAGUGUCUUGUGACAAGACAGAGGAACAAAUAUUCUGAAAGUGCAGGAUGAUUGUCAAGGGUUUGGGUAAAAAUGCUUUGAUUUGGCACACCUGUUCUCCCAGCUAUUUAGGACACUUUGGCUGGAGGAUCACUUGAGCCCAGGAGUUCGAAUCUAGCCUGCACAACAUAUCAAGAUCCCAUUCCAAAGAAGAAGCAGAAAACAAGGAGAAGGAGAAGGAGGAGAAGGAGAAGGAGAAAGAGAAGGAGAAGGAGAAGAGGAAGAGGAAGAGGAAGAAGGAGAAGAAAAAGAAGAGGAAGAAGAAGAAGAAGGGGAGGAGGAGGAGGAAGAGAAGGAGGGGGGAAGGGAAGGGGAAGGGGAAGGGGAAGGAGAGGAGUAGGAGAAAGAGAAGGAGCUCUGUUGGUAAUGGUGGGAAAAUUAGUCAUUGUGUUUUCUCAGUGAGUACAGAAGCUUUACUUUACCAUGACUAAAAAUUGUCCUUUUCUUCUCUGUUGUAUAGAAUAAUGUUUUACAGGAAAAAAUAUGUGCUAUGGAGGGGCUGCCACAAAAGCAUAAUUUCUCACACUGCUGCAGUAAGGUUGAUGCUCAAAGAAGACACUGUUUCUUCUAUAACAAGAAAUCUGAUGUGGGAUUUCUGCCUCCUUUCCCUACCCUGGAUCCCGAAGAGAAAUGCCAGGCUUAUGAAAGUAACAGAGAAUCCCUUUUAAAUCACUUUUUAUAUGAAGUUGCCAGAAGGAACCCAUUUGUCUUCGCCCCUACACUUCUAACUGUUGCUGCUCAUUUUGAGGAGGUGGCCAAAUCAUGUUGUGAAGAACAAAACAAAGUCGACUGCUUUCAAACAAGGGCAAUACCUGUCACACAAUAUUUAAAAGCAUUUUCUUCUUAUCAAAAACAUGUCUGUGGGGCACUUUUGAAAUUUGGAACCAAAGUUGUACACUUUAUAAGAUGUUUCUUCCAACUAUGAUGGAUGCUGUGAAGGGGAUGUUGUGCAGUGCAUCCGUGACACGAGCAAGGUUAUGAACCAUAUUUGUUCAAAACAAGAUUCUAUCUCCAGCAAAAUCAAAGAGUGCUGUGAAAAGAAAAUACCAGAGCGCGGCCAGUGCAUAAUUAACUCAAACAAAGAUGAUAGACCAAAGGAUUUAUCUCUAAGAGAAGGAAAAUUUACUGACAGUGAAAAUGUGUGUCAAGAACGAGAUGCUGACCCAGACACCUUCUUUGCGAAGUUUACUUUUGAAUACUCAAGGAGACAUCCAGACCUGUCUAUACCAGAGCUUUUAAGAAUUGUUCAAAUAUACAAAGAUCUCCUGAGAAAUUGCUGCAACACAGAAAACCCUCCAGGUUGUUACCGUUACGCGGAAGACAAAUUCAAUGAGACAACUGAGAAAAGCCUCAAGAUGGUACAACAAGAAUGUAAACAUUUCCAGAAUUUGGGGAAGGAUGGUUUGAAAUACCAUUACCUCAUCAGGCUCACGAAGAUAGCUCCCCAACUCUCCACUGAAGAACUGGUGUCUCUUGGCGAGAAAAUGGUGACAGCUUUCACUACUUGCUGCACGCUAAGUGAAGAGUUUGCCUGUGUUGAUAAUUUGACAUGUGUCAAUCUCAGAAUGAGGAGCUUCAGAGGAAGACAGACAGGUUUCUUGUCAACUUAGUGAAGCUGAAGCAUGAACUCACAGAUGAGGAGCUGCAGUCUUUGUUUACAAAUUUUGCAAAUGUAGUGGAUAAGUGCUGCAAAGCAGAGAGUCCUGAAGUCUGCUUUAAUGAAGAGAGUCCAAAAAUUGGCAACUGAAGCCAGCUGCUGGAGAUAUGUAAAGAAAAAAGCACCAAAGGGAAGGCUUCCUAUCUGUGUGGUGAUGAAUCGCAUUUCCUGAGAACAAAAUAAAAGGAUUUUUCUGUAACUGUCACCUGAAAUAAUAUAUUGCAGCAAGCAAUAAACACAACAUUUUGUAAAGUUAUUUUUCAGACCGAUGUCAUAAAUCAACCUAAUCACAAAAUCA
rnacentral:lncRNA from 1 species